UACGUAGGGGGCAAGCGUUGUCCGGAAUCAUUGGGCGUAAAGAGCGUGUAGGCGGCCCGGUAAGUCCGCUGUGAAAGUCCAGGGCUCAACCCUGGGAUGCCGGUGGAUACUGUCGGGCUCGAGUCCGGAAGAGGAGUGCGGAAUUCCUGGUGUAGCGGUGAAAUGCGCAGAUAUCAGGAGGAACACCGGUGGCGAAGGCGGUUCUCUGGGCAUUACCUGACGCUGAGGAGCGAAAGUGUGGGGAGCGAACAGG
rnacentral:rRNA from 1 species